GGGGCCGGAGGGGGGUGGGGGGGGCGGGUGUCCAGUGAUUCAGCCACAUGUGGUAGAGGACCAGGGGACCCACUUCCUUGGGGUCUGCACAUCAGUGGAAGACACCCACCCUGGUUGUAGCUGACUUGAUCAGACUCUGGCUCCCUGAACUGGAAUGAAAUGCAGAUAAACUCUUUAGAAAACUUUCGUAGGAAAAGCGCCUCGUGUGAUCUGGAACAAAGACAUUUUAUAAUCAGAUUUAUCAAGCUGGGAAGAGGGAGUUUUUAGCGAACGGAAGCAGCAGCAUUCUGUCACCAGGAAAUACUGCUUUAUCCAGAAUGGGAGAGCAACAGAAGAGCAGCUUUCUUAUGGAAUGACAGAGAACUUGUAAAGAUAAACCACCAGUUUCCAGGAGGAAAGGAAGAAAAUAAUGAUGGAGAUAGCCUCUGGAAAGCAUCCUCUUGUAUAUGGAAUAGAUGGUCAGAGUGGACUUGCUAUAAAGGACAGGGAACUCCACCCAAGAUUCUGUGAUAACCUACGUGGGAAAAAAAAUGCGUGUAUGUCCAUGUAUAACUAACUGAAUCACUUUGUUUUACAGCAGAAAUCAUCACAGCCUUGGAAAUCAACUGUAAUUUAAUAAAACUUUAAAAACUACUCUUAUAUUCUGUUUUAUUGUGGUCUGUUCCUGCUAAAUAAAUUUAAAUCUCCAAGCACUAAAAUAAAUAGAUCGGUCUAAACCAUUAAAUGUUCAUUAGUAAGAAAAUAGAACUUUCAAAGGAGACAUUGUAAACCCUCGGUUAUAUGGAUGGAGAUUUUCAGUGAGAAAACAUGGAAGUGAAUAUGAAUUAAGAGACGUAAAGGAGAAAAUGGAUAUAAGAAAUGAAAAGAAAAAUGUCUGUAUGUAAACGUUGGUUGUAGUGAUAUGAUCUACUUUUGUCACCCUACGUUGAAUUCAGUCAAAAUAAAGCAAAUGACUUGGAGCUUUGAAAA